UACGGAGGUGGCAAGCGUUGCUCGGAAUCACUGGGCGUAAAGGGCGCGUAGGCGGGGAGGUAAGUCGGGUGUGAAAUCCCUCGGCCCAACCGAGGAACUGCGCCCGAGACUGCUUCUCUUGAGUCCCGGAGAGGAAGGUGGAAUUCCCGGUGUAGUGGUGGAAUGCGUAGAUAUCGGGAGGAACACCAGUGGCGAAGGCGGUUGCCUGGAGCUUUGCUGACGCUGAUGCGCGAAAGCGUGGGGAGCGAUCCGG
rnacentral:rRNA from 1 species